UGGUAUACAUGACUGAAAAAUGACCCUAAACCUUGUUAGGAGUUAUUCUACCAUUUCCAGAAUUUAUAUUAUUCAGAACUGGGUAUGGGACUGAAUUGGGUUUUGAUCAGGUGGGCAGGCUCCAGGAUGGCAAGAUGUGCAGCCUCAUGAUCCUCAAGUUCAAGACGCAGCCAACCAUGUUUUGAAGAGCCUUCAACAAAAGUCCAAUUCAUUAUUCCCUUAUGAGCUUCAAGAGAUUGUCCAUGCUAAGGCAGAGGCUAUGGAUUCAUUUGAGCCCUAUGGAAAUGGAUCAAAUGGAGAGAAUGGCGCAAAUGUAGAAAACGACGCAAAUGGAAAUGGGGCAGAGAAUGCAUUGCCACCCCCACCCCAUGUUAUCCCUCCAGAUGUUGUUCCAUUGCAUGCUCCGACAGAUAUUACACCUGAACCUUUUGUGCGCCUACCAAUUGCUAGGCGAGGCCUUGGAACAAAAGGGCAAAAGAUUCCUCUGCUGACUAAUAGAUUUAAAUCUCUUACUAUUUGAACAUAUAUAGGCAACAGCUAUAAAUCUUGUGGGGUGAGGAUGCAUUCAAAGAUGAGCAUACAAUCAGCUUCUACAUGGAGCCUAAAGUGUUUAGAUUACUCAUUUGAUGGUUUACAAUGUUUGUAUUUGAUGACCUACUGUUCAUUUUGUACGUAAAUGGAACAAAUGAAUGCACAAUCUAAUUCCAGAAUGGGAUGUUCAAAUGAUCA